AUGCAGUUGACAGGGAAACCAGAGGCUGAGAACAGCAGUUCAUGUAGAUGUGAAUGCCCAGCGCUGAUCAGGCUUCUUCGUGCAUCAGAUAACAACUGGUACAUUACUGAACACCGCGAGAGCCACAACCACUCGAUGUCACUAACAAUGGGACAGAAGGUGCACUGGCCAUCGCAUAAACACAUAGAUGUGUACAUAAAGGACUUGAUAAGGCAGCUUAGGGAAAAUAAUGUGAAUCUGGGAAAGGUCUACAGUAUAAUUGGAAGCUUCUUCGGCUCGGUUGAAAAGGUGCCCUUCACGAAAAGGACUCUUAGGAAUAUCUGUGGGAAAAUUAGCCGCGAGCAGGCCGAUGAUGAUGUGUGGAAGACAUUGGAAGCGUUUGCAGACAUCCGUACAAGUGACCCUGGGUUCACAUAUGUGGUGCUAGCAGACAAAUCCAGCAAGGUGAAAAAUUUGAUGUGGGCUAAUGGGAGCAGCCGAAUGCAGUACAAGUUCUUUGGCGAUGUGGUGACAUCUGACACGACAUACAAGACGAACCUGUACGACAUGCCAUUUGGUAUUUUUGUUGGAGUUAACAAUCAUUACCAAAGUAUAAUAUUUGCAGGGGUCUUAAUGCGAGAUGAGCAAGAAGAUAGCUUCGAGUGGGUAUUUGCUGAAUUUGUACGUCUGAUGGGUGGACCGGCACCACGAACCAUAUUGACGGACCAGUGCAGAGCCAUGGAAUUAGUGAUAAGUAAGGCGUAUCCAGGGACAGUACACAGGUGGUGCAAAUGGCAUCUCCUAAAGAAGGUGAAAGAAACAUUGGGGCCACUUUACACGAAGAAGAGUGAUUUCCAAGUAGAAUUCCACAAGGUUGUCAACCACAUGUUGACUGAAGAAGAGUUUGAAGCCGCUUGGAGCCAGCUGCUGGAUAAGUACAACCUGAGGAGUCAUGCAUACAUGACUCAGAUAUAUGAAACUAGGAGAAAAUGGGCGAAGCCUUACUUCAGGGGCGUGUUUUGUGCAAAGAUGACGAGCACGCAACGGAGUGAGAGCGCAAACCACCUACUGAAAACUUAUAUGCCGCCAGCAAGCCCGAUGCAUGUUUUUGUGAGGCAGUACACGAGGUUGCAGUUUGACCGUGAAGGAGACGAGAGCUACGAAGAGAAGCGGACCAUGAUUGGAGGUGCUGUGAGACGAACAAACCUAGCCAUAGAACGUCACGCAAGCAAGAUAUACACCAGGAGUAUGUUUGAGGAAUUUGGACGCCUCCUAGUGGAAGGAACAACAUACAAUGUAACUGAAGUUGAAAAGCUACGGAAAUACAGGACCACCCACAACAAUGCAGAAAAAAGGGAGAAGUGGAGCAGAGUUGAGUAUGAGGUUACAAUAAAUGAAGAAAAAUCUAUAUUUACAUGUGAAUGUGGCCAGUUCGAGCACACAGGGAUGCUAUGUUGCCACACAUUGAGGGUGAUGGAGAUCCUGCAUCUUGAUGAGAUACCGAAGCACCACAUUGUUAAGCGAUGGACAAGAGACGCAAGGGAUAUAUUGCCAGAGCAUUUGGUCCAGUACCAAAAGGACAACUCAGUGAACUUAUCAUUCACAUGUAGGCAUGCAACACUGUACUUGAGAGCCAUGGAGGUCGUCCGGAUGGGUGAUGCAAGUGCUGCAUGUUAUGAGCAUAUGCAUGCAGGGCUUGGAGCUCUCCUGGUGAGUGGGGCACCGUUGGCCGCGAGUAGGGAUGGUCUGGCAUUUGAGGAUAGAUCGGUCGAAAGAGCUGAAGCAAGGAGCAAUGGGAAUGUGCAGAAUGCAACUGAUAUGGGUUUUUCACAGCAGUGUCACAGUGCUGGGCACUCUGGCAGUGUCAAUGGCCUCCACGGCCUCGAAGCCCAGAGAAGCAAAGAGGCGCAGGUAGGCCGACGAACAGCAGAGACAAAGCCCCAUACGAAGGUUUAA
rnacentral:rRNA from 1 species